AUUUGCUGAAACUCAGGAACUGUGUGCCUAAAAUUUUGUUUUAUGUUGCUUCUGUCUCACAGGUUGGUUGUACAACUGGAGAACAGCUUCCAAAUUAAAAACAAAAAAUAUUCAGAGUAAUGCCCUCGAGACUGACAGCUUUGAAAGUCUUUUAUUACAGGGAGAUCUCGACCAAGAACCUAGAAGGGUAGAGGGAAAGUGACUUUUCCUCUCCCUGCAGACGUACAUCUCACAAGGCACAAGCCUUCCGGACACUAGCCUCAUUCAGUGUUAUAGCAACUCUGUCCCACAAUAAAUACAGGUUUGUUCUCUUAAGAGGUACUCUG
rnacentral:lncRNA from 1 species